UACAGAGGGUGCGAGCGUUAAUCGGAAUUACUGGGCGUAAAGCGUGCGUAGACGGUUCUGUAAGUCGGAUGUGAAAUCCCCGGGCUCAACCUGGGAAUUGCAUUCGAGACUGCAAAGCUUGGGUGCGGAAGAGGGAAGCGGAAUUUCCGGUGUAGCGGUGAAAUGCGCAGAUAUCAGGAGGAACACCGGUGGCGAAGGCGGGUCUCUGGGCCGAUACUGACGCUGGAGGAGCGAAAGCGUGGGGAGCGAACAGG
rnacentral:rRNA from 1 species